GGACCAGUGGCAGAACAUCUGCCUGGCAUGCAGAAGGUCACAGGUUUAAUCCCUGGCAUCUCCA